GGGCAGGUACCCAAGCGGCCAACGGGGGCAGACUGUAAAUCUGCUGGCAUCGCCUUCGGGGGUUCGAAUCCCUCCCUGCCCACCA
rnacentral:tRNA from 2 species